GACGAACGCUGGCGGCGUGCUUAACACAUGCAAGUCGAACGGAAAGGCCCUGCUUUUGUGGGGUGCUCGAGUGGCGAACUGGUGAGUAACACUUGAGUUACCUGCCCUUGACUUUGGGUUAACUUCAUGAAACUUGUGCUAAUACCGGAUAGGAUCUCCUGCUGCAUGGUGGGGGUUGGAAAGUUUCGGCGGUUGGGUAUGGUCUGGCGGCUUAUCAGCUUGUUUGUGGGGUAGUGGCUUACCAAGGCUUUGACGGGUAGCCGGCCUGAGAGGGUGACCGGCCACAUUGGGACGGAGAUAAGGCCCAGACUAAUAGGGGAGGGAGCAGUGGGGAAGAUUGCACAAUGGGAGGAAGGAUGAUGCAGCAAAGCCGCGUGGGGGAUGACGGCCUUCGGGUUGUAAACCGAUUUCGCCUGUGACGAAGCGUGAGUGACGGUAAUGGGUAAAGAAGCACCGGCUAACUACGUG
rnacentral:rRNA from 1 species